rnacentral:lncRNA from 1 species
UUAUCUGUGGUACCCAAAGAGCUGAUGUUGCGUGUGGAAAAUGGUGCCUCUUCGAAAUCCGGAGAGUGGUGCCUCUUCGAUUCUUGAACCAACGGCCUUGUUGCCCUUUCUUUUAUAAGGGCACCAAUUGUGUGCAAGAAGUACAUUCAGAGAGUUAUUGCUUGUAGGAAUUUUCCCCUUACUUCAGAGAUUUAUUGUACCUCAUUUCUCCUUCAUCAUUUCUGAGAAUGUCUGGCACAUCCGACCGUCAUUUUGAUUUGAACUUUGGUGAAGAGGCAGCUAUGCCUUCUCAAGAUAACAUAUAGCGCACAUCCUUCUUAUCCCCUAUUGGUCAUCUUACCGUUGGGGACUCUGUGAUGAAGAAUGAUAUGACAGCUGCGAUGGUGGCAACAUAUACAGAUUAGGAAACUAGAAAUUCCCAACCGAUGAGCUAGAAUGAUAUGACAGCUUCAUCAAUUUGAGAAUUUGUAGUUGUCCUCCAUUGAUGAAGCUUUGUUGAAUUUCCCUUUUUUUUUCUUUUUUUUUUUGGGAAACUAGAAAUUUGAAAAUGUGGGAGAGACAACAUAUACAAAUUUUGCUUCCACACUGUUGAGCAAGACAUUAUGAUGCAAGUCACACCUUGUAGUAGUCGAAGGUUUGGAUGAACCAUAUAAAUUGAAUUUGCUUCGAAGGUUUGAGAAU